CACACUUGACCACAUUUUUAUUUUUUCUUUCUCUCUAUUUCCUCUCUCCCUCUCCUCUCUCUACCCACACACACCACCUCUCUCCCUCUCCUCUCUCUACCCACUCCACCAGCCCACCGCCCCACCAGCCCAGACCUCAACCCACAGCCUCCGACCACCGCCAGUCCACCGUCGGCGGCGCAGGGUUUUGCACCAUCAGAGGCUUCACCUUCCCGUCCCAGGUAUCAAACCCGCACGUCUUUGAGGGCAGCCCUUGGUCGGUGUAAGUCUAUUACUGUGACACCAAGGUCUCCAGUUCGACAUGUUAAGCUUUUUGGCUUUGCCUAUCUUGGACCAUUCGGGCAUUUUUUUCACUUAUUGCUGGACAAACUUUUCAAGGGGAAGAAAGACACAACAACUGUUGCAAAAAAGAUUAUUUUCAUUCUUGAUCAAUGAAUAAAACUCUGCUAUAUUAUUUUCAUUCUUGAUCAAAAUUAAAUUGGUCUGGAUGCCACCUUUAUACCCGUCGGCCCUUGAAAGCAUAGAUGUUGCUGAUGAUGGCGCAGUUGAUCCUAAGGAGUAUAAAGCUAUGAAGCAUCAAGUUGCUCAGCUAACAAGAACACUUAAUUCCUCGGAGGCUAGGAUGUUGGGUAUGCAAGCUCAAAUUAAUAGUUUAUGAUGGAUAUGUUUAAAUGGAUAUGUAUAUUAUCUUUAAGGGUUUGAAUGUAGUUUUAGUUCGAAUUAGAAGUAAUUUUAAGUUUAUAAUGUUUAAGUGUUUGAAUGAUGUUUAAGUGUUUGAAUGAUGUUUAAGUGUUUGAAUGUAGUUUAUGAUGUUUAAGUGUUUGAAUGUAGUUUUAAUUUUAAGUACUUUGAGGUUGAAUUUGAUUGUUUAUAAGUGUUUGAAUGGACAAUGUUUAAGUGUUCAAGUGUU